CUAGGCAUGUUUGAAAGUGGACAUAGUUUUCCUACAGUUCCUGCCUCUCCUCUAUGACCUAUCUCCUUGAGGGUAUUCCACUAAAUGUAUCAGCUCCUGUAAACCCUGCAUGAAGUGCAUCAUAUUAUUAUCCUCAUUUAACAGACAAAGAAAUGGAGUCACCAACAUGAUUGAGAGAUGCCAAUGUUCUCCAAGUAUCAGAAUAACAAAUCUGGAGCUGAGAUUCAAUCCCAAUCUUCACUCAGCCAUGACCUGGCUCCAACCUGUACAGUCAUGUGGUUAUUGGGUAGAGAAGCUGGAACUGAAACAUUAGAAGCUUUGGUGAAGAUUAAGAAACUUCGCUGAAAUCAAUCGUCUUCGCUUUGAACCAUAGCUGCUGGAUGUAUUUGGAUUUGAUGCAACCUGCAGACUUUAUACCUACCUCCCAGUUCUUCUUGUAUUUUGCAAAAGCAACAUGAAAACGUAAAACUCAGAAAAGAGAACAUGUAUUUAAACGACGCAUCUCUUGCCUGAGUAUGACUUAUACAUAUUGUCCACAAGGAAAUACGAUGUUAUUUCUCCAGACAACUGGCCUUGGAGACUAAGACAAUCAGGAACACAUUCAUAAGCAAAAUAAUGGAGAAAUGAUCUUUUGUAGGGAUGGACAAACCUGGACAAAUCUUCAUAGACACAAAUACUGCCUGUGAAAAUGAAGGAAGAGUUUAAUCGGAUGGCCAUCCAUGAUUGACUGAAGCAUGACUGCCGUGACUAGUCGUAAUUCAGAGCAUGGGGGCUUGAAAUCCUCAGAGACCAGCAUGAGCUUCUCACAUUGCCGGGUAAUACAGGGGUUAUUUUGGCAUCUUCCUUGAAGAGCCUACAUCCUCAGAGAACAAGGUUUAUAAAAUCAAGAUGAGAAGUUCUGAGAUCAUGGAAAUGUUAUAAAACAAGGCAAAGGCAGCCACUCCUAAGAAUGCAGUUCAUUCCUAGAAACAUGUUCAGAACACAGACAUCUGACUCCUGACUCCUCUUCAUGCUGCAAGCAGUCCUCUCUCCAAGGGCACCUGAGCCACAGGCAUGACUUGGAAAGAAGUUUCUGUGCCUUUCCACCAUACGAAGACUGACAAGUUGAGAUCUGCACACCUGCAUGUGAGCGUCCUAUAAAAACAGUGCUCUCGGAGAGUGCCCUCUGGCUAGCAAGACGAAAGAACAUUCACAGAAUAGUUACGGUUCCAGUGAUGGGCAACCUAGAGCCUGAACAUGCCUGCUGGAGGGACUCAGUUGUAACCUUUAUCUCACCCCACAGAGCCGACAGGUGCUGAAGCGGGCCCCUGCACCACACAGAGCUGGUAGAUGCUGAAGUGGGCCCCCAGCCUUGCAGGUUCCUCAAGAAGCUCAACAGAACUAGAGAGAGAAAACCAAGGAGGUAGGUGCCCUUGGAUCUGCCCAAAUCCACCAAUGCAGGGAUCCCUCCAGACAGGGACGAUGGAGAGGUCGGAGGUUACUCCUGAACAUGGAACUUUCCCAGUCUAGAGACCAAGCAACAAAAGAAAGUAGACUUGAGCUCACCAGGACAUUCUUUCCUAAAAAGGCCACCCAGGAGCCUCCAGGGGCUGACAGUUGCCAGUCUGUCACCUUGACAAAUCCUAGCCACAUGCAAAGCCUAAUGGGUCUGACCCUCUGGAAACCCACUCAGUUUGGCAGAACAGGCCGGCCAUGGGGCUGGCAAAGGGCAUUUAAAAAUUAGGACAAACAUCUGGUGCCUUUUCAGAACACAAAUCUUUAUCCUAUACUUAAUCAAAACCACAUUAAAAUAAUACUUUCUCCUCGACAACUCACUUUGCACAUUCCAGCUAUCGGUCAGGAAAGGAUGCCUGGUCUUGAGCAACAUCUCCUAGAAGGAUGCCAUCUCCCUAAGAGCUGGGCUUAUUCCUGUCCCUCCCCCUUUGCUGCCACGCAUGGCAUGCCAGAGACUGCCAGCACCCCACCUCCCCACUCACAGCAUGUUCUCCACCCCAUCUCUCUUCAAGCCCUUCUCGGCAGGUCUUCCUAUGGUUCCCAGAUGCAGAGGGUGGAUAUCCUGUGGUGGAAGACACCCCACAGGCCUGGAAUAUGUAGCAGCCCAGCACCAAGGACUCAGAUGGCUCCUCUUGCUAUGGCCAGGGGUUAAGGCCAGGAAGGGGCAACCCAGCCUUGGAGCCUGGGCUUCCCAGAAAGACCCAGUUCAGGUGUCAGCCCAGUGACAGGGACUAUGGCCUCAGGGACAGGCUGCUAGGCCAGGGCAGGCCUCGGCUGCCAGCCGGCUCUGCAUGAUGCUCAGAGUGGGUGGGUUGGGAAGUGGUUCUCCAGGGAGCAGAGAGGGAAGGAACUAGAAACAACCACUUAACAUCUAUUUAGAGCCUGGGAGCAUUUGUGGAAGCCAUCCCCAUUACUGUUGAAAAGAUGCAAAUUUGGUGAAAUCAUCAGCUGUAUGGCUUCAGGCUGUUUCUCGAGUACCCUGAUUCCUAACAGGAGUGAAGGUAUUAGUGUGAGACACCAGCAAGGCCAAGUUCAUGUAGCUCAGAGGUAGCCCCUAACCAAACUCCGCCAAGUGCUUGCAAAAGAAGAUUUGUUAUCUCAGGAAGACAGUUCAUCCAA